UACGAGUGGUCCAAGCGUUAAUCGGAAUCACUGGGCUUAAAGCGUGCGCAGGCGGACCGGCAGGCGUCCUGUGAAAUCCCACGGCUCAACCGUGGAACUGCAGGGCGAACCUCCGGUCUCGAGGCAGGUAGGGGUGAGUGGAACUAUGGGUGGAGCGGUGAAAUGCGUAGAUAUCCAUGGGAACGCCGAUGGCGAAGGCAACUCACUGGGCCUGUCCUGACGCUCAGGCACGAAAGCGUGGGGAGCAAACGGG
rnacentral:rRNA from 1 species